GGUUUGAAACGAAAAGUAAAGUAGCCAUUGUGAUGCAAUAGUUUGACACCCAGAUCAUCAUCUUUGGAUUUGCAAUGAACAGUUAGGUCCAACCCUAAAACAUUAGUGACAUUAACUGUCUGCGUUUUAGGAAACAUCCAGCCUUCACACCUACUAAGCACCAAAAGAAA